rnacentral:rRNA from 1 species
UACGUAGGGUGCAAGCGUCGUCCGGAAUUAUUGGGCGUAAAGAGCUCGUAGGCGGUUUGUCGCGUCGGCCGUGAAGACCUGGGGCUUAACUCUGGGCUUGCGGUCGAUACGGGCAGACUUGAGUUCGGUAGGGGAGACUGGAAUUCCUGGUGUAGCGGUGAAAUGCGCAGAUAUCAGGAGGAACACCGGUGGCGAAGGCGGGUCUCUGGGCCGAUACUGACGCUGAGGAGCGAAAGCGUGGGGAGCGAACAGG